rfam:Paenibacillus sp. oral taxon 786 str. D14 genomic scaffold supercont1.12, whole genome shotgun sequence.
AGCACCUUUAAUUCAGUCCCGUGAGGCUGGCAAGGUAACGUGAAUGGGGAAAUGGGCGAACUGCGCUUAUUUAAGUCGGUUCUCUAUACCCAAAUCCUACAUGAUAGUCAUAGGUUAACUAUGGCUGAAGACUCCUUGCCUGGAUAUCGGGCAAGGAGUUUUUUUA